GGAGGAAUGGCAGAGUGGUCUAAUGCAAAUAACAAUGUAUUUUGUUAUUGAGGUUAACGCCUCCGAGGGUUCGAAUCCCUUCUUCCUCCG
rnacentral:tRNA from 1 species